rnacentral:lncRNA from 1 species
GUCCUCAUUGCAUUUUGGGGUCUCAUGGUGUCCCCAUUGCAUGAAUGUCCCCAUAAUGCACCAUGGGGUCCCAUCCCAUCGUGGCCCCAUUGCAAUUUGGGGUCCCAUGUUGUUCCCAUUGCAUGAAUGUCCCCAUAAUGCACAAUAGGGUCCCAUCCCAUCGUGGCCCCAUUGCACUUUGGGGUCCCAUUGUGUCCCCGUUGCAUGAACGUCCCCAUAAUGCACAAUGGGGUCCCAUUCAUUGUGGCCCUAUUGCACUUUAGGGUCUUAUCAUGUCCCCAUUGCACGAACAUCCCCACAGCGCACUAUGGGGUCCCAUCCCAUCGUGGCCCCAUUGCACUUUGGGGUCCUGCCA